UACGUAGGGUGCAAGCGUUAAUCGGAAUUACUGGGCGUAAAGCGUGCGCAGGCGGCUUUGCAAGACAGAUGUGAAAUCCCCGGGCUUAACCUGGGAACUGCAUUUGUGACUGCAUGGCUGGAGUGCGGCAGAGGGGGAUGGAAUUCCGCGUGUAGCAGUGAAAUGCGUAGAUAUGCGGAGGAACACCGAUGGCGAAGGCAAUCCCCUGGGCUAACACUGACGCUCAUGCACGAAAGCGUGGGGAGCAAACAGG
rnacentral:rRNA from 1 species